rnacentral:misc_RNA from 1 species
AAGUCGUAACAAGGUUUCCGUAGGUGAACCUGCGGAAGGAUCAUUACCAAAAAAUCCAAUACCAACCCCUUUUUGUGAAUACUUUGAAUGUACUUGGGAGAGCUUGGAUCUCUCAAAGUUUUUAUUUUUCUUUAAACUUUGACUGCCUUCUCUCCCACGUUUAUUAACCUUAAAACACCUUUCAUAGGUUAACUAUAUAAUAGUAAUUUCAUACUCAAAAAAUAAAAUAAUUUAAAAGUUAAACAACUUUUAACGGUGGAUCUCUUGGCUCGU